GCGGACGCAUCAAUAUAUUUAUAUCACGCGCGCACCGCAGACAAGAGAAAAGCGCAAGCACCAUCGAUCCCAUAUCAAACAGCUAGAAUUAUUUUUUUGCGUUGCCUUGCGACAACGGCUGUCGAGAGCGGAACGUCGAGAUUGGCUGGUCGGCCGCGUACGAAGAAGAAAAAGAGAGCGAGACACCGACCUUGAUGAGGAGCGAUUCCCGGCCGGUUGCUAAAGAGCUAGCGAGAGAUGUAAAGCAAGGAGUUGUUGCCAGAGCGAAUUAACGUGACGAAGAGGACUACACCGAGGAGAAGCUGCCGUGCUGCAUCAAGAUCUUGCUCUGAUCAAUUUGGUCCAUCUUUUAUCUAAUUUGGUGUAUACAAGUCACGGUCUUGAAUUUAAAUAAAAAAAUAAAUAUAUUUUCUAUACGAAUUUUAAAAACAUUGCUAAAAAUUCGAAACAAAUUUUACUUCGAUCGACGCUGGUGUUGUAUUUGAUUCCAUUAAUCUCGAGAGUCCGCAAGUCAUCGGCUCAAAUAUAAUACACAAGUCGGUCUUACGCUGUUUCAGUAUCCAGUUAGACAACCGAUUUAUGUGGAACACUCAUUGACAACACUAAACUUGUUAGCUAAACUACUAGAAAUAAUAAAAAAUAAUAAAUCUAAUUACUAAACAAUUUAAAGUAAACUUAGGUGUUAAAGCUCCUGAAGUAUUCAAAGACUUAUAUCUUUGGUUAAAUUUGAUGAAGGACAUAAAACGAAAUAUUUAAAAUCUCUAGAGAAAGAGGAAAUUCCCUAUUUACCUAGAGAUUUUAAAUAUUUUGUUCUAUGUCCUUCUUCGGCUGCGUUCCGAUAUACACUGCAAG
rnacentral:lncRNA from 13 species